ACUCAGCCUGCCUGCACCCAGGUGAUUAAAAAGCUUUAUUGCUCACACAAAGCCUGUUUGGCGGUCUCUUCACAUGGAUGUGAGUGAAAUUUGGUCCCGAAAUUUGGUGCCGUGACUCGGAUCAGGGGCGUGGGGGGGUGGGGACCUCCCUUGGGAGAUCAAUCCCCUGUCCUCCUGCUCUUUGCUCCGUGAGAAAGAUCUACUUAUGACUUCUGGUCCUCAGACCAACCAGCCCAAGGAACAUCUCACCAAUUUUAAAUCGGGACCCCACUGUUCAACUCACCUGGCAGCCACUCCCAGAGUCCCUGGAACUCUGGCCCAAGGCUCUCUGACUGACUCCUUCCCAGAUUUACUCGGCUUAGCGGCUGAAGACUGAUACUGCCCGAUUGCCUCGGAAGCCCCCUAGACCAUCACGGACGCCAAGAUUUGGGUAACUCUCACAGUGGAGGGGGGGAAACACUGUGGACUGGCAUGCUGCUGGCCACCACUUCCCAGCUGAAAACUCAGGAGCGCCAUGUGGAAGAACUCAUCUCACAGAUAUUGGCAAAAGCUACCAAGCAGGACUUGAUUUAUUGUUUUGUUCAUUGUCUAGACUAAGAAAGUGAUGAAAUGUUAAUAAUGGAUAAUGAAAAUGAGAAAAUAUUAAUGUAAAUUAAACGUGAAAGUGUGUCCUAUUUGUAGCUGUUACACUGUGAAUAACUUUAAGAAGAAACCUUAAUAAAUAUUCCUCCAGUUUUCAAAAAUUAUUUUCUAGUUCGGCAAAGAAGUCAUUCACAUCACUGAUAAACGAAUGAAGUUCUAACAGAUGUCUUUAUUGAUUCACUUUUAUUUUAUUUGUUAACAUAAAUGAAAAUACAGGUGAUGUUCAUGUCAGAACACUUUCAUCAAAUGCAACCACAGUUUGGCUAUGAAUAUAGAAGUCUGGCAAAAAUCAAUAAAAGCAGUCGGUGAGAAUCAAUUGAUUAUAAGGAAUUUCCAAUAAAGAAUAUUAUAUAUGUUGUUACUUGUAAAUAGCAUGAUAUACAUUCUUUAUAUCAGAAAAGUUUAUA